GACGAACGCUGGCGGCGUGCUUAACACAUGCAAGUCGAACGGAAAGGCCCUGCUUUUGUGGGGUGCUCGAGUGGCGAACGGGUGAGUAACACGUGAGUAACCUGCCCUUGACUUUGGGAUAACUUCAGGAAACUGGGGCUAAUACCGGAUAGGAGCUCCUGCUGCAUGGUGGGGGUUGGAAAGUUUCGGCGGUUGGGGAUGGACUCGCGGCUUAUCAGCUUGUUGGUGGGGUAGUGGCUUACCAAGGCUUUGACGGGUAGCCGGCCUGAGAGGGUGACCGGCGACAUUGGGACUGAGAUACGGCACAGACUCCUACGGGAGGCAGCAGUGGGGAAUAUUGCACAAUGGGCGGAAGCCUGAUGCAGCAACGCCGCGUGCGGGAUGACGGCCUUCGGGUUGUAAACCGCUUUCGCCUGUGACGAAGCGUGAGUGACGGUAAUGGGUAAAGAAGCACCGGCUAACUACGUG
rnacentral:rRNA from 1 species